CCUACGGGAGGCAGCAGUGAGGAAUAUUGGUCAAUGGGCGUAAGCCUGAACCAGCCAAGUCGCGUGAGGGAUGACGGUCCUACGGGUCGUAAACCUCUUUUAUAAGGGAAUAAAGUGAGGGACGUGUGCCUUUUUGUAUGUACUUUAUGAAUAAGGAUCGGCUAACUCCGUGCCAGCAGCCGCGGUAAUACGGAGGAUCCGAGCGUUAUCCGGAUUUAUUGGGUUUAAAGGGUGCGUAGAUGGGCUGUUAAGUCAGUUGUGAAAGUUUGGGGCUCAACCAUAAAAUUGCAGUUGAUACUGGGGGGCUUGAGUACAGUUGAGGCAGGCGGAAUGCGUGGUGUAGCGGUGAAAUGCUUAGAUAUCACGCAGAACCCCGAUUGCGAAGGCAGCCUACCAAGCCAUGACUGACGCUGAUGCACGAAAGUGUGGGGAUCAAACAGGAUUAGAUACCCUGGUAGUC
rnacentral:rRNA from 1 species